GAUGAAGAACGUAGCGAAAUGCGAUAAGUAAUGUGAAUUGCAGAAUUCAGUGAAUCAUCGAAUCUUUGAACGCACAUUGCGCCCGCCAGUAUUCUGGCGGGCAUGCCUGUUCGAGCGUCAUUACAACCCUCAGGCCCCCGGGCCUGGCGUUGGGGAUCGGCGGAAGCCCCCUGCGGGCACAACGCCGUCCCCCAAAUACAGUGGCGGUCCCGCCGCAGCUUCCAUUGCGUAGUAGCUAACACCUCGCAACUGGAGAGCGGCGCGGCCACGCCGUAAAACACCCAACUUCCGAAUGUUGACCUCGAAUCAGGUAGGAAUACCCGCUGAACUUAAGCAUAUCAAUAAGCGGAGGA
rnacentral:misc_RNA from 1 species